rnacentral:tRNA from 1 species
AUAUCCAUAGCUCAAUUGGUAGAGCAUUUACCUUCUAAGUAAAAUUGUGUGGGUUCAAAUCCUACUGGGUAUA